UUAUUGCCCAACACUGCUCAUCACUACUCUGCAUCAUCAGUAAUGAGCUCGGGAGAAUCUCCGUGUUCCAGGUGGAGGAUGAAGACCCUCUGCCGGGAUAGAGCGACUAUCCAUCAACACUUUAAUCUCGUAAGGAGCGCGAGACUGAGAAGAACCACCACACCCAGGUCUUUACCAACAAGCAAAAGACCUUACUGAGACGAGAACACCAGGAAAACCCUGUCCCUAUUGCAGUUAAAUGGGUUACUGGCUGAAAAGACUCAGAAUAUGACUCCCUCUUUCACACCAAGCCAGAAGGUAGAGCCAAAUAAAGAAAAUACCCCAGCAGUAGACACAGUCCCUGCUGUAGAAGAGCUUACAACUGUGGAUUAGAAACCAGCUCCACCUCAAGUUUCAGCUGUAGAACAGAGUCCAGCUCCACCUCAAGUUUCAGCUGUAGAACAGAGUCCAGCUCCACCUCAAGUUUCAGCUGUAGAACAGAGUCCAGCUCCACCUCAAGUUCCAGCUGUAGAACAGA